rnacentral:rRNA from 1 species
UACGUAGGUGACAAGCGUUGUCCGGAUUUAUUGGGCGUAAAGAGCGUGUAGGCGGCCAUACAGGUCAGCUGUGAAAACUCGAGGCUCAACCUCGAGACGUCGGUUGAAACCGUAUGGCUAGAGUCCGGAAGAGGAGAGUGGAAUUCCCGGUGUAGCGGUGAAAUGCGCAGAUAUCAGGAAGAACACCAAUGGCGAAAGCAGCUCUCUGGGACGGUACUGACGCUGAGACGCGAAAGCGUGGGGAGCGAACAGG